UGGGGAAUUUUGGACAAUGGGGGCAACCCUGAUCCAGCCAUGCCGCGUGAGUGAAGAAGGCCUUCGGGUUGUAAAGCUCUUUCGGCGGGGACGAAACGGUCCGUGACAACACCACGGACUAAUGACAGUACUCGCAGAAGAAGCACCGGCUAACUACGUGCCAGCAGCCGCGGUAAUACGUAGGGUGCAGGCGUUAAUCGGAAUUACUGGGCGUAAAGCGUGCGCAGGCGGCUCCUUAAGUCAGAUGUGAAAUCCCCGGGCUUAACCUGGGAACUGCGUUUGAAACUGAGGGGCUAGAGUGUGGAAGAGGGGGGUGGAAUUCCAGGUGUAGCAGUGAAAUGCGUAGAUAUCGGGAGGAACACCUGUGGCGAAGGCGGCCACCUGGUUGGAUACUGACGCUGAGACGCGAAAGCGUGGGGAGCAAACAGGAUUAGAUACCCAGGUAGUCCCUGAGCGGGCUGGCAAGGCGCAU
rnacentral:rRNA from 1 species